rnacentral:rRNA from 1 species
UACGUAGGCAGCAAGCGUUGUUCGGAAUUACUGGGCGUAAAGAGUACGUAGGUGGUUUGCCAAGUCCGAUGUGAAAUCUCCUGGCUUAACCCGGGAACUGCGUCCGAUACUGGGAGGCUUGAAUCCGGGAGAGGGAUGUGGAAUUCCAGGUGUAGCGGUGAAAUGCGUAGAUAUCUGGAGGAACACCGGUGGCGAAGGCGGCAUCCUGGACCGGUAUUGACGCUGAGGCGCGAAAGCCAGGGGAGCAAACGGG